AACGAACGCUGGCGGCAGGCUUAACACAUGCAAGUCGAGCGCAUCCUUCGGGGUGAGCGGCGGACGGGUGAGUAACGCGUGGGAACGUGCCCUCUUCUACGGAAUAGCCUCGGGAAACUGAGAGUAAUGCCGUAUACGCCCGCAAGGGGAAAGAUUUAUCGGAGGAGGAUCGGCCCGCGUUGGAUUAGGUAGUUGGUGGGGUAACGGCCUACCAAGCCGACGAUCCAUAGCUGGUUUGAGAGGAUGAUCAGCCACACUGGGACUGAGACACGGCCCAGACUCCCACGGGAGGCAGCAGUGGGGAAUCUUGGACAAUGGGGGCAACCCUGAUCCAGCCAUGCCGCGUGAUCGAUGAAGGCCUUAGGGUUGUAAAGAUCUUUCAGCUGGGAAGAUAAUGACGGUACCAGCAGAAGAAGCCCCGGCUAACUCCGUG
rnacentral:rRNA from 1 species